GUUGGCCACGCCAACCACAUGUACCAAGACCCAGCCCAACUUGGACAACUGCCCCUUCCAUGAGCAGCCACAUCUGAAGAGGAAAGCAUUCUGCUCUUUCCAGAUCUACACUGUGCCUUGGCAGGGCACAAU